rnacentral:rRNA from 1 species
UACGGAGGGUGCGAGCGUUGUCCGGAAUCACUGGGCGUAAAGGGCGCGUAGGCGGCCUGAUAAGUAGGGGGGUGAAAUCCUGCGGCUUAACCGCAGGGCUGCCUUCUAAACUGUCAGGCUAGAGCACAGUAGAGGCAGGUGGAAUUCCCGGUGUAGCGGUGGAAUGCGUAGAGAUCGGGAAGAACAUCAGUGGCGAAGGCGGCCUGCUGGGCUGUUGCUGACGCUGAGGCGCGACAGCGUGGGGGAGCAAACAGG